UCCGUCAGCACACGUUUUUCAAUCUUGACUCGAGGUGUGUGGUACACGCUUCGAGGAGUAAAUAACUGGCUGUAAUUUAGAUGGGAACUUGUUGUAAUCAACAAUUUACAAAAUGUUACUCUCGUGGACUUUACGCAAAAGAGGUUUCAGCAAUAACGUCACUUAGUUGAUGCAAGGGAAACCAUAUCAUGUGAGAUCUGAGCUUGAAUUGAAAAAAUGCGAACAUGGGACUAGAGUUUAAAUAGGCACUAUUGUUUGCUAGCUCGUUUUGAGAUAUUGACGUGCUGUGACAAAUGGAAAUAGUAUCCGUAUCACAUAUCGGGCGAACUGUGACCGACGCAAUGUUAACGUGUUAUAAUAAAUGCACGUACAAUUUAUGUGAAUAUAUCCAGCCAAAAAUAGAAGAAAAAGUGGUCUUAUAAUUUUUGUUUAAUUUUAUAUUUA